rnacentral:lncRNA from 1 species
GGGCUUAGUAUUUUUUAACAUUUAUAUUUUCUUUACAAGAUAGCAUGAUUAACUAAUAAUAUAUUUAAGGAAAGUAAAUAAUUAAAGGGAAAAGGGAAUGCAGAAAGGAUAAAUAUGGAUAACUACCGAUCUUACCUUUCGGCGAGGGUUCAAUGUUUUAAGUCUUCUUAACAAGACUUCUCACCGUGUUCAUUCUUUAGGUGCGUCAUUUGAUUCAGGUGCGGACCUUGACGUCUGCACUUCUUCGUUUGCCCAACAGUUCGAAGUGCGGCGUUGGUAGUAUCCUGCUCACUGUGUUUGUGCUCGUAGAUCCAGGUCCUUCACUUGUUAGAGUCUGAG